UAUUGGACAAUGGGGGGGAACCCUGAUCCAGCGACGCCGCGUGAGCGAAGAAGUAUUUCGGUAUGUUAAGCCCUAUCAGCAGGGAAGAAAGAAAUGACGGUACCUGACUAAGAAGCACCGGCUUCCUACGUGCCAGCAGCCGCGGUAAUACGUAGGGGGCAAGCGUUAUCCGGAUUUACUGGGUGUAAAGGGAGCGUAGACGGCGAUGCAAGUCUGAAGUGAAAGGCGGGGGCCCAACCCCCGGACUGCUUUGGAAACUGUAUGGCUGGAGUGCAGGAGAGGUAAGUGGAAUUCCUAGUGUAGCGGUGAAAUGCGUAGAUAUUAGGAGGAACACCAGUGGCGAAGGCGGCUUACUGAACUGUAACUGACGUUGAGGCUCGAAAGCGUGGGGAGCA
rnacentral:rRNA from 1 species